rnacentral:rRNA from 1 species
GACGAACCGUGCGAACGUUGUUCGGAAUCACUGGGCUUAAAGGGCGCGUAGGCGGGUCAUCAAGUCCGGGGUGAAAGCCCCCAGCUUAACUGGGGAAGUGCCUUGGAUACUGAUGGUCUUGAGGGGGGUAGGGGCAGUGGGAACUUCCGGUGGAGCGGUGAAAUGCGUUGAUAUCGGAAGGAACGCCGGUGGCGAAAGCGCGCUGCUGGACCUCUUCUGACGCUGAGGCGCGAAAGCUAGGGGAGCGAACGGG